rnacentral:rRNA from 1 species
GACGAACGCUGGCGGCGUGCCUAACACAUGCAAGUCGAGCGGAGUUGUAUCGGAAGCUUGCUUUCGAUAUAAUUUAGCGGCGGACGGGUGAGUAACGCGUGGGCAACCUGCCUCGUACUGGGGGAUAACACUGGGAAACUAGUGCUAAUACCGCAUAACAAAGCAUUACCGCAUGGUAGAGCUUUCAAAGGAGCAAUCCGGUAUGAGAUGGGCCCGCGUCCGAUUAGCUAGUUGGUGGGGUAAAGGCCUACCAAGGCGACGAUCGGUAGCCGAACUGAGAGGUUGAUCGGCCACAUUGGGACUGAGACACGGCCCAGACUCCUACGGGAGGCAGCAGUGGGGAAUAUUGCGCAAUGGGGGAAACCCUGACGCAGCAACGCCGCGUGAAGGAUGAAGGUCUUCGGAUUGUAAACUUCUUUGAUUGGGGACGAAUAAUGACGGUACCCAAAAAACAAGCCACGGCUAACUACGUGCCAGCAGCCGCGGUAAGAC